UGCUGCAGAGAAUUCGAAUGCUGACGCGCAGGGCCCACUUCAUCGCCGGAUCUGUCACCGGGAAGGCUAAGGCUAUUCUGCAGAGCGUCCCUCUCCGGUGUGCGAGAACCAGGGAGUACCCCGCCUUCAGCACAGCGCUGGCCCUCGGGAGAUUUGCAGCACAGUCGUGAAAUUGUGAGCAAGAAAAGAAAUGGGGACCGAACUCAAGACUGUCUGCUUGCACUGCUUUCUGUUGGGAGUCCUUGAAGCAGGAAAUUGGCCACGUGCGCAAGGCUGGAGCAAAACCAUUCCGAGAACAAAGAGCCCCUGGGGCAGCCACCUGAGGCCCCAAGACUUCUGAACAGUGGGUUGCUAGGACAGCAGGGCGUCCUGUGAUGUUAAGUUGCUAAAAGGUAUAAAUAAAUGCCCCUGCAGGGAGGAGCCAGCACCUUUCCUCCCCUCAGGACCUGCCCCA